rnacentral:tRNA from 1 species
AGGUGGGAAGUGUUACGGUAGCACGACGGUCUCCAAAACCGUAAGCGCGGGUUCGACUCCCGCUCCAUCUG